rfam:Ictidomys tridecemlineatus contig032187, whole genome shotgun sequence.
GGGAAUGUAGCUCAGUGGUAGAGGUCUUGCCUAGUAUGUAUGAGGCCCUGGGUUUGAUCCCCGGCACUGCCA